GAUGAACGCUAGCGACAGGCUUAACACAUGCAAGUCGAGGGGCAACGGGACGUAGCAAUACGUUGCCGGCGACCGGCGGAUGGGUGAGUAACGCGUAUGCAACCUACCCACGACAGGGGGAUAGCCCGUUGAAAGACGGAUUAAUACCCCAUAAAACAGGGGUUCCGCAUGGGACUAUUUGUUAAAGGGUUCUCCGCGAGGGGGACAUCGGUUGUGGAUGGGCAUGCGUUCCAUUAGGCAGUUGGUGAGGUAACGGCUCACCAAACCGACGAUGGAUAGGGGAACCGAGAGGUUGGUCCCCCACACUGGUACUGAGAUACGGACCAGACUCCUACGGGAGGCAGCAGUGAGGAAUUUUGGUCAAUGGACGGAAGUCUGAACCAGCCAAGUCGCGUGAAGGAAGGCGGCCCUAAGGGUUGUAAACUUCUUUUGUAAGGGAAUAAAGUGCGUUACGUGUAGUGCAUUGCAAGUACCUUACGAAUAAGGAUCGGCUAACUCCGUGCCAGCAGCCGCGGUAAUACGGAGGAUCCGAGCGUUAUCCGGAUUUAUUGGGUUUAAAGGGUGCGCAGGCGGGGGAUUAGGUCGGCGGUGAAAUAUCAGGGCUCAACCUUGAGAGUGCCGUCGAAACCGGUUUUCUUGAGUGCGGAUGAAGUAGGCGGAAUUUGUGGUGUAGCGGUGAAAUGCGUAGAUAUCACAAAGAACACCGAUUGCGGAGGCAGCUUACUAAACCGCAACUGACGCUCAUGCACGAAGGCGUGGGGAUCAAACAGGAUUAGAUACCCUGGUAGUCCACGCAGUAAACGAUGAUUACUAGCUGUUUGCGAUACAAUGUAAGCGGCUGAGCGAAAGCGUUAAGUAAUCCACCUGGGGAGUACGUUCGCAAGAAUGA
rnacentral:rRNA from 1 species